GAUGUGUUUGCUGAGCGUCCCACUCUAGGCAAGGGAAGGUCACGCUGUGGAGACACAGCCCAAACCCAGAGAGCGGUAGCUGGGGAAAUUUUCGCCCGAAAAUGAGAGGUGCUAGUAGCCCGCGCUCUUUCCCCCGGGCCUGGGAGAACAAUGAAUGUCUUGCCUCGCUUUCCGCCAGAUCAGCGCGUGGGUCUGGGAGGAGCUGGGACCCACGGCCCACGGAGCCCGGACAGCGCAACGGCUCAGGGCGCCCCAGCCAAGGACCACGUCUGGGGUGACGAGAUCUGGGACGUGAGUCACCAAAAUAGAUUCGACAGUCGUGGUGGGUAACUUCUAACAGAGCCAUUCCUGUGAUUAACGUUAAUAAUAACCAUAUUUCUUUGAAAGUUCACUGUUGUGUGCAAGUAGCCACAAACCAGUAAAAAGCAAGCAAAGGAGUAUGAAAUAAUACAUGGUAAGUUAUAUCAGAUUUUAAAAUGAGAAUUAUUUUAUAAUUUCUUACUAUGAUAGUGAUUCUAGUGCCCAUGACCUAAAGACCGUCUCCUUAGUGCUCAGCUUUUCUCUGUGGAAGGUCAUGCAUUUCUCCUCUCAGGAGGUCAAUUAUAAUUUAAAAUUCUACUUCCAUCUAAGGAUGGAGUGAAUUUUUGGCUUAAAAUGCUUGCUUUGGUUGGCUACCAUGAUUAAAUGAACAGGCAUUAUCCAAAUGUCCAAGGUUUUCUCUCCCAACCUGAAAGGGUUAAAUUAUCAGAAACCAGGAAGGCGUCUAAAAAAUUAUGCAAGGAAAACAGUCCCUGGACUCUCCCAUCAGUGAGUCUCAAGUCUGUGUGGUAUAGAUGUUGGGUGGGGGUUACUGUGAAGGCCGUUACCUGAGUGAGUAUGUCACAAGGGAUGGGGAUGAGGCAUUUCACACUGUUCUAGUCUCUAGAAAACUCAGAUAAAACAAUACCUCUUGUAACUUUAAACUACUUAAAGUUAAGAAUAUUUUGAACUGGCCUUGCCCUGGCAUCUGUUCUCCAGCUCCUUAUAUUCUUUAUCCCAAUUUCCCCAUUUUUUUUUAACAUACAUUCUUUCUAACUUAUUGGUAUGGAUUGCUCUAAGCAUAUCAAAUCUUGUUUUAGAAUAAGUUGAAGGAUGAGUAAAUAAUAAACAUUACCAGGAAAUAACCUGGAAAAUGACGUAAAUGCUACUUAAAAAAACUUGCACUGACUUAACACAAAGCCCUCCGACCUGUUAUAUUCUCAUUGUACUAGGAAAAAACCCGAAGUCUCUAACAUGGCUUACAAGGUUUUGCAUGACUUUUACUUAUUUCUGUUGCUAAAGGUUUUGUUCAUACAACUAGAAAAAAAACAAACAAAACCAUGGGUGAUCAAAUUCCUUUUCCAAAAGAGAGCACAGAUUAUAAAAGUCAUGA